AACGAACGCUGGCGGCGUGCUUAACACAUGCAAGUCGAGCGGUAAGGCCCUUUCGGGGGUACACGAGCGGCGAACGGGUGAGUAACACGUGGGUGACCUGCCCUCAGCUCUGGGAUAAGCCUGGGAAACUGGGUCUAAUACCGGAUAUGACUCCAUGACGCAUGUUGUGGGGUGGAAAGCCUUGUGCGGCUGAGGAUGGGCCCGCGGCCUAUCAGCUUGUUGGUGGGGUGANGGCCUACCAAGGCGACGACGGGUAGCCGGCCUGAGAGGGCGACCGGCCACACUGGGACUGAGACACGGCCCAGACUCCUACGGGAGGCAGCAGUGGGGAAUCUUGCGCAAUGGGCGAAAGCCUGACGCAGCGACGCCGCGUGAGGGAUGACGGCCU
rnacentral:rRNA from 1 species